ensembl:lncRNA
GGCCGGGUGAAGGAGGCCGGUGGACCCAAGCUGGCACCGCUCAGCCAGUUGCCUGUCCUUUCUGGAAGCCUGACUUGGCUGCUGCCUAGGCGUGCCAAUGGACUCCCCUCCUGACCGUCAUCCCGACCAUCGUCAAAAAUUAAACAAAAUCACUUUUUCGGGACUGCCUGACCGCGUCUCUGGGAGCCCUCACUUGGCGGGACUGCGCCAGUCAGAAAGAGAAGCCUAUGAGUGCAUCCAGGAAUUUCUAGAACAAGGGCAGCUGCUCGAGAUGGACAAGCUGAAGUUCCUGAGUGCAGUGGACACCUUGAGUGGUGCUGUCCACGCCCAGGCAAAUGGCAACAUGGACGAUUUCUUUCCGAAAACUGUCUUGGCCGAGAAAAUCACGAAAUUAAUUCUCGAAGAGUCCACAGAGGCCCUGGUCAGCACUGUGCGGCAGCAAGCCAUGCUCUGCGUCGUGGCCCUGAGGUGCCUGGCUGGCCCAUGGGAGUGGGGCGCCCGGGAGCGGUCUACAAUCCAGGCCUUGGACGACAUGUUACAGGCUCUCAUGAUGGAGGAUCUGGAGCCGAGCAUGGUCUUCCUGCAGAGCUUCCUGGAGGUCGUCCUGCCUUGCUUGGUGCAGUCGGAUAAAGUGCACGAGCAGACCCGGAUCUUGGGCGCCAUUUCCCGGAUCCUGAGGUUUAUCUGCAAUUUCCCCGAGCUGGCGCACACGGCGGAGUUCUCCAUGACUGGGAAGCUGAUGGGCACGCUGGGCCUCCUCUGCAUGAGCCCCAACCUGGAGGUCGGCAUGGCGGCCUCGGAAGCGCUGCACUACCUGUUCAAAGUCCUCGCGCUGCAGAGAAGUGAGGCGCGGAGGCCACGGGCGGACUCAGAGGGGCUCAGCCCGGCUCCCUCUUCCCAGUUCUUCAGGAAGUACCUGACUCCCGAGGAGCGAGCAGACGUGAUGCUGGUGUCGUUGGAGGCCCUGACCAAGCCCAGCAGGCACGACGCCCGGGCGGCCUCCAGGGUGCUGCGGACAAUCCUGAAGUCCUCCGUCCCUGACAUCGGGAAGGUGCCUGAAAUCAUCAAGCACGUUUACCACCACAUGCCCAGCGCCACGGACGCCACGGCCCAGGAGACCAUCCGGAAGGUGCUCCACGUGCUGGCCCAGACCUACACGGAUGAGGUGGUCCUGACGCUCUUCGAGAUGGACGAGCAGUCCCAGAGGGGGGCUCGCAAGCCCUGGGAGAUCCUGGCGUCCUUCCCCAAAGGCUACGAAGUGAUCAUGGAGCACCUCCUGCAGAGGCUGACCCCCCAGGCUGCGGCUGACAAUCCCCCUGCCCCGCAGGCCACCAGGGCCCUCCACGAGCUGCUGCUGGAGCCCAGCCGGAGGAUGGAGGUGCAGGCCUUCUUCCCGCACCUGUUCCUGGCCCUGCUGUUCCGCAUCUCCUCCCUCCUGGGGGUGGGGGCCGCCCAGCCCCCUGUGAGCCAGGGGAUGGACCCCGUCAGCUGCUCCGUGGAGGCGCUGAAGACCUUGAUGAGGAGCGCAGGGUACAGCGACCACGUGUCCUACAUUCAGAAGCUGCAGGGCUGGGAGCUGCUCACCAGUCUGGAGAGACACCAUGAGGGGGUGGCCCUGCUGGGCAGGGCCAUGGUCGUCCGCAGCUGCUGGCACACCCGCCCUGUGUUCCGCCUCACCGUCCGCGUCCUCCAGGACCCGGACCUCGAGAACCACAUGACGGCUCUUGUGUUCUUCACCGAGCUGCUGCAGUGCCCAGACGUGGCGGCUGCUGCCGACGACGAGAUGGUCAGGACCCUGGCCAACUGGUUCCAGGCUAGGGAAAGAGCCCCUGCUGCUCUCACCGUCCUGGGAAAGAAGGGGAGGUUUCCCACAAGGGCCCCGGGUCGCCAACCUGCUGGGUCUCCUGGACAGCUCCGUGCCCUGCAGCCCUACGUGCUCAGCUGCUGCUACUCUGUGGACGGCAGCAUCGUAGCGGAGACCUUCCAGGUGCUCAGGGACCUGGUGGACCAGCUGCCCUGGCAGCACUCGGCCGCCUUCCUCAUCCAGCUUGCGUUCACCCUCGCACCCUUCCUGGAGGAGGAGUCCGAGCAUCUGCGCCUGACAGCCUUUGAGAUCUACGGGGCUCUCCUGGCCAAGGUUAGCAGGAGGGUCUUUGUCUUCCCCUUGAGGCACCAGGUCCUCAACCUGCUCAUCCUGCUCGUACUCCACCUGGAGGAUGCGAACGGCAGAAUAGAAGGGUACAGGAACAGGCUGAUCUCACUGUCACCUGUCUCCGCCCGCAUGCCCUCGGGGUCUUGGCCCGGCCUGCACCCUGACUCCUCCGGCUGGGCUUCCCUGUCUCUCCAGAUCGCCAGGCCCACACUCUGCCACCUGGCCACCUUGCUGGGCUGGUCAAAGCUCAGGGCGACUUUCGCUGAGAAAGACAUAUGGACCAUCCUCAGUGCCCUGCUGCAGCAGGAGGUGGGCCGAGCCCUCUGGUUCCUGAAGCAGAGCGUACAACUCUUCAGGAGCCCGCAGGUCCCCAUCCGUCGGGCUGCCGUGUGGUUCGCAGGCCAGAUCAUCCAGACCCUGGGCGCUGAGGAGGCCAGGGAGAUGGACGAGGUCCACGCAGCCCUGAGGCACAUGCGGGCAGACCUGGACCCCACGGUCAGCUGCCUCGCCACGCAGACCUCCUACAUCCUGGAGGCCAAGGAAAAGACGUGGGUCACCAGCUCCACCUCCUGCUUCUGCCCCAGGAGGCUGCGGAAGGCCUACUUCUGAGCCUGCGGCUCAUCAGACGAGACUGCGGCAGUGGAGACCAUGGCCUGGCUUCUGAGCCCUGCUCUAGACGAGGGGUGUCCCUGCAGAGCUUCUGUAAUAAAAGGAGAAAGCGGAGACUUCCA